GAGUUUGAUCAUGGCUCAGAUUGAACGCUGGCGGCAGGCCUAACACAUGCAAGUCGAACGGUAACAGGAAGCAGCUUGCUGCUUCGCUGACGAGUGGCGGACGGGUGAGUAAUGUCUGGGAAGCUGCCUGAUGGAGGGGGAUAACUACUGGAAACGGUAGCUAAUACCGCAUAAUGUCGCAAGACCAAAGAGGGGGACCUUCGGGCCUCUUGCCAUCGGAUGUGCCCAGAUGGGAUUAGCUUGUUGGUGGGGUAACGGCUCACCAAGGCGACGAUCCCUAGCUGGUCUGAGAGGAUGACCAGCCACACUGGAACUGAGACACGGUCCAGACUCCUACGGGAGGCAGCAGUGGGGAAUAUUGCACAAUGGGCGCAAGCCUGAUGCAGCCAUGCCGCGUGUAUGAAGAAGGCCUUCGGGUUGUAAAGUACUUUCAGCGGGGAGGAAGGGAGUAAAGUUAAUACCUUUGCUCAUUGACGUUACCCGCAGAAGAAGCACCGGCUAACUCCGUGCCAGCAGCCGCGGUAAUACGGAGGGUGCAAGCGUUAAUCGGAAUUACUGGGCGUAAAGCGCACGCAGGCGGUUUGUUAAGUCAGAUGUGAAAUCCCCGGGCUCAACCUGGGAACUGCAUCUGAUACUGGCAAGCUUGAGUCUCGUAGAGGGGGGUAGAAUUCCAGGUGUAGCGGUGAAAUGCGUAGAGAUCUGGAGGAAUACCGGUGGCGAAGGCGGCCCCCUGGACGAAGACUGACGCUCAGGUGCGAAAGCGUGGGGAGCAAACAGGAUUAGAUACCCUGGUAGUCCACGCCGUAAACGAUGUCGACUUGGAGGUUGUGCCCUUGAGGCGUGGCUUCCGGAGCUAACGCGUUAAGUCGACCGCCUGGGGAGUACGGCCGCAAGGUUAAAACUCAAAUGAAUUGACGGGGGCCCGCACAAGCGGUGGAGCAUGUGGUUUAAUUCGAUGCAACGCGAAGAACCUUACCUGGUCUUGACAUCCACGGAAGUUUUCAGAGAUGAGAAUGUGCCUUCGGGAACCGUGAGACAGGUGCUGCAUGGCUGUCGUCAGCUCGUGUUGUGAAAUGUUGGGUUAAGUCUCGCAACGAGCGCAACCCUUAUCCUUUGUUGCCAGCGGUCCGGCCGGGAACUCAAAGGAGACUGCCAGUGAUAAACUGGAGGAAGGUGGGGAUGACGUCAAGUCAUCAUGGCCCUUACGACCAGGGCUACACACGUGCUACAAUGACGCAUACAAAGAGAAGCGAUCUCGCGAGAGCAAGCGGACCUCAUAAAGUGCGUCGUAGUCCGGAUUGGAGUCUGCAACUCGACUCCAUGAAGUCGGAAUCGCUAGUAAUCGUGGAUCAGAAUGCCACGGUGAAUACGUUCCCGGGCCUUGUACACACCGCCCGUCACACCAUGGGAGUGGGUUGCAAAAGAAGUAGGUAGCUUAACCUUCGGGAGGGCGCUUACCACUUUGUGAUUCAUGACUGGGGUGAAGUCGUAACAAGGUA
rnacentral:rRNA from 1 species